rnacentral:rRNA from 1 species
GACGAACGCUGGCGGCGUGCUUAACACAUGCAAGUCGAACGGAGUGGCGAACGGGUGAGUAACACGUGGGUGACCUGCCCUGCACUUCGGGAUAAGCCUGGGAAACUGGGUCUAAUACCGGAUAGUGUGGGAUGGGCCCGCGGCCUAUCAGAUUGUUGGUGGGGUAAUGGCCUACCAAGGCGGCGACGGGUAGCCGGCCUGAGAGGGUGGACGGCAAAAGUGGGACUGAGACAACGCCCAGACUCAUACGGGAGGAAGCAGUGGGGAAUAUUGCACAAUGGGCGGAAGCCUGAUGCAGCGACGCCGCGUGGGGGAUGACGGCCUUCGGGUUGUAAACUCCUUUCACCAUCGACGCGGUAGAUGGAGAAGAAGCACCGGCUAACUACGUGCCAGCCGCCGCGGUAAUUC